GUGGGCGUGGUCACGUUGCGUCCUAGGGCCACGCCCACGGUCGGAACCGGAACGUCCGUUAGCGUCCCUAGCGACCGCGGGAGCGAGGAUGGGGAGCUGGGGCGCCGCGACCCGAGUCGCUUUGGAAGUGAGGGGAGCCUUCGGUAGCCGGUGGAGUCUUGGGAAGCUCGGCAUCAGAAAUGUUGCUGCUCAUUUGUAUGAAGAUUAGGAAAGAACUCACUGUGCGUAGAACCUCUCAAUGAAGCAGAACACACAGUGAGACACGCAGACUCAACCCAGUUCCUCAGGGGUCAGAACUCAGCACUUUCUUCUGUCCUCCAUGGGAGAUCCUGUCUUCUUCCAGCAAUCACGGGGUGGAGGGAGCUUCUCAUAAACAGUCCAAUUAUCUCCUAAGAAAUGCUGUCAAGAAACUUCGAGCUGUUCUUGAUAAUUCCAACUGGGAAGAAAGUUUUCAGAAAUAUCCUCAGCUCCCAAGCGUGUUAGUGCCAGUGCUGCUACAGGUGAAGUGAUAAUUGCAGUUCCCAGGGGAGUUGAAGUCACACAUUCACAACCCAUAUCUCAGGGUCUGGCUGCCUCCCUCCCACUUUUACCGAUGAGGUGCUGACUUCAGGAUGACUUCAGCCUCUAGGCAGCAAGAAGUCCGUGGGUUUUCUCUUUGUCAAUCUGAGAGGUAAUGUCUGUAAGGGAAGGUGCUUUAUCUGGAGUCUGGGCAAGUGCACAUACUGGACAGAGGGGAUCUUCUGUGAGUGAACCUGACCCAGCAUCAAAGCCACAAAAAGAGGGGAAAGAAUUCCUGAGGCUUGAGCUGAGCAGGUAAAAAAAGAUGGUCCUAGACCUGCUCCAGGCCCUGACGGCUCCUGAUGUGACCUAGUGUGGUCCUCACUGACAGUCAUGGUUUUGUUUAGCAACCAUGAUCCUGGAUUUGUAAUGUGCUUAGGGCUGGAGUUCUGAAGUCAAUCUCUUUUCAGCAAAAUUUACAGAAAUCACAGACAGAAUUAGCAGGUUUCUAGAGAUAUGCUGUAAUACCUGCAUGCUUUUCAACCUAUAGGAGUCAUCGGACCCUGUGCAGAAAGUGUGUCUGAGAGCAUUCGUUGAAGUAGAAAUGUUUUCUCUAACUCUGGGUGUAUAUUGGGCUUCAUAGAUUCAAUUAUUGUGUCUCUAUUGAUUAUGAAGAGAUUAUUCCCGCUUAAAAUUAGGGAAGCAGCAUUUAAGAGAAAUAUAACUUUAUAAAUUUCAAUCAUCACUUUCAGGCUCAGGUGUAUCUUGUGAUAUUUCUGCUUGUUUAAAAGAGUACCAAUUCAGAAAAACAUGUUUAUAUAAUAUACAGUUUUUUGUCUUACCAUUCAUUUUCCAUGUGUCUUGUAUAUUUAACACAAAUGUAGCCUUACUGCUAAUUAUUUAAUUUAACCUAGAUCUUAAUAGAUAUGUAUAUGAUCUGAAGUUAGUAAUAAUUUUGAUUGUACCAUACACUGUUUAUUAGGCAUGAGAUUUUUCUGUCCCAUAGUUUUUAUGAUUCAUAUAAUUGUACUUUUGUUCCUGGAAUAAAACCUAAUGAUUGUUUCUGUGGCCAUCCUAA